rnacentral:misc_RNA from 1 species
UAUGGAAGUUAAAUGAUUUUUUUUUGAAAUGAAAAUGGAGUAUAUUGAAUGUUUAUAUGUUUUUAGAGUAUUUGAAAAGUUUUAAUUUGUAGAAAUUUGUUGUACGAGUUUUUUGAAAGUAAGAAUUUUUAUGUAUGGAUAUGUUUUUAUGUUUUAGAUUGUGUUUCGAAUAUAGUGUAUAUAUUAAUUUAGGAAAGGAAAGAAUUGAUUCGUUAAAUAGAUAAAGAGAUUAAAAGUGUCGAGUUAAGUGAUUUUUUGAGGCGUUUAAGAGUUUUUUUGUUUUUUAUAUAUUAAGUAAAUAUUGAGUAUUUACGAUGAGUUAGGAGGUAUGUAAUAAGUUUUAGGGAAUAGAAGGCGGAGAGAAGAAGAUAUAGAGUUUUUGUUUUUAUUGAGAUGAUUUUAAUGAUAUAUGAUAGGUAGAUUUUUUGAGAAUUUAUAGAGGGGUUUUUUUUUUUA